rnacentral:lncRNA from 1 species
GAGCUUAUAAACUAAGCUGAUGUGCUUAUAAAGGUGCAUAUAAUCAAUUUACUAUGAUAGGAUUCAUUGUCUUUAUUGAAGUAGUUAGUAGACUUGUUGAUCAUGCAGUUGAGGUCUCAUUAGAUGAAGGAUGCUGGCUGGCAAAAUUUGUUACCAUAAGCAUGUUAGCAAGCUUCACGCAAAUUUGGGAUUCUCGUUCAGACUACUGAGAAAUUUUGUCCUACAUGCUUGUGCAAAUUAAAUCUCUUUUAUAUAACCUUUCUUCGAGUGUAGAAUAUUAAUUGUUAUCAUCAAAUUGAUUUUCUAAACAGAUAUUGACUUUUGACACUUGAGGUAUAGGGUAAAUCAAAGUUUUGCAGCUUGUCAAAACAUAUGACAUCAUUUGAAUAUGUAGCUAUUGUGGGUGGUGUGACAUAAUCUUUGGGGCACACAAAGAUCGGUACAAUUGUAACUACGUCGAAGGACAAAGCAUCAAUUCUUUUUUUCAAAGUUCCACCUAAUAUUUUUCAGAUUUAUUUUAGGGGAAGAUGUUGGAGAUCAACUUUAGUAGUAUUCCAGUGGAGUUGAGUCUCAUUAGGAGUAGAAUGAGUAUUGUCCAGCGAUACAUGAUGUUGAAGUUUGGACUUGAUUAGAUUUAAGAUUAGUAUAUUGUCAUUCCUAUUGGUAGACAUUGUCAAUCUAGUGUUGAGAUGAGAAGAAAAUUGUUCCUUUGGUGAAACCUUGAUAAGUAUGGUUUGUUAUUAUAUCAACUAAUUGAAGUAAGUGUUAACCUUCAAUUCAUUUGGAAGGCAUUGUAUGAGAAAUUGAGAGAGAGCAUCCAGUAGAGUGCAUGCAUCACACCAAGUUGUGAGGCAAUAAAGAGACAGUGAGAUAGAAACUCUGUAGUGCAAUGUUUAAAAUCUUUGUCCAAAACCAAUGCUAGUCCUUGGGUGGACCAGUCAGGCACCGAUGUCAUACCUCAGCACUUCCUCGAGCCAACUAAUACAAGUUUAGCGGGUUGACAAGAAUUGAAAUUUGAAAGAGAGACAAAGAAGAGGGAGGAGGAGGAGGUCUACUCCUGGUAUGAGGAGGCAAAGGUGGGGAGAUAUACUGAUAGUAGGAGAAUGCACAGGAGGACAAGGAGGCGUUGGCAGAAAAUGAGGUGAAGAAGAGGGGGAGGACACAACAAUGGAUGACAAGGAGGUGGCAGAGGAGGUAGUGGAGGAGAGAGUGGAAGAGAGAGAAGCUAAGACAGCUGUCAAUAGCCAUCAUAUCCUUAUUAAAAAGAGUUACUGGGUGGUAAAGCUCUGUUUUGGACCUGACCAUGUGAUGUUGCUUCAUCUUUUUAGCAAUCAACCAUCAAACCUGUAAAUGUUUGUCUGUAUCUACUGGUAUGAUCGAGACGUUAAUCCUUGUUAUAGUGCUUAGUAGAAACCAUGAGUAAUAGAUAGGCAACACUAUCCUGUUGAUAGGUAGUUGAGUUGUCUUUUUGUGUGGUCCUCUUAUUAAUGAAGUUUCUAUUUUGGCGUCUUUUCUAUCUUUGGUACUCUCUUUUCCAUAUCUUCUUUGUCUCAUUUGGGCCUACUACCACCCCACAAUUGC